AGGCUUUGUUUUGGUUCGCUCUAUAAAACCUGGAACUAAACAUUUUUUCUGACAUUUGGAAUUGAAAAAUCUUCCUGGAUGGAAGAGAAACGUCUUCAAACUUGGAAACAAAGUCCAAUGCAUAGAUUGAUGAUUUCGAUUAAUCAGGAAUCACAGUUUCUCUUUUCUAAAACAAACUAAUUGUAUCGUCCAAGAUGACGGGACGCCCCGCCUGCAGUCUGUAUGGGACCAGCUUCCACUGCUGGUCUAAGAACGGUCCCACAGCAGUGUGACCAUCAAGAGGAGAAGCUGCUUCUCUCUAAAUUUACCAAGUUGGUUAAAAUAGUUUGAUUUCUAAUUUUCCUUGAGAAUCAAAUUUUUUUUUUAUUUGAAUUAAAACAGAGUUUCCUUCAGUAUAAAGUUAAUUUCUAAAACGGUUUAGAUGGAAACUUAAAUCAGUUAUUUAUCCAUUUGUUUCUAAGCACUUUGUUCUUUUAAUUGAUUUUAAUCAAAAAUAAAAACGUUAAUCAGUGGAAAAACCUUCAGCAUCAAAUCAGUCACACCCUUCUUAUUCCUGCUGAUUAAUUUAACACAUUUCCACUGAUCUGCUUACAUUAUUUUAUUCCUAUUUUGAUAUUUUUCCUAAAUGCUAGUAAAGUUUAAAAAAAUCCAUUGGUCUGCAUCUUUACAGCAGUCCCCCCCCCCCCUUUUUUUUAUUUUAUUUUGGUUAUAUGUAAACAAACAUGUAAAAUCUAAUCUAAAGCUGCACAGUGGAUGAAUGUGAUUUAAAAGGAUGUUUUGCUCUGAUUGGACAAUAAUUCAAAGCAGGACUGUUAAUAACAGCAGCAGCGUCUCCAAACAUCAGAGACUUUUUAUCUCCGGGUGGAAAUGGGAUCACUGAUGGACAUCUGGGUGUAAAUAUUUAUCAUGUUCCAACCUUAUUCAGACAAAAUUAUGAAAAAAAAAAUGUCUUUAUGGUUUAAACUUGGAUCAUUAACCUUCAUCUUGCUUUGAUUGCAGUUUUAUCUUUUUUUUUGGGCUACUUUCUCCUUCCUGGGACUCUGCUUUACAGACGAUCUCUGCUUUUGUGUCUUAGAUGAGUUCAAUGUUUUAAAGCUUUAGAUGGAUAAAUAUAUUCUGCCACUUCGGCCUUUCUGCACAUUCUUUUCGUCGUUUUCUGGCCGUGCUUCGAGUUUCUUCGUGCUCUUUGAAAUAGAAAAUGAAGCUUUGUGUCACCGCUCACGAUGAUGAGAUUACAGCGCAAUAAAUGUGUGGAGAUAUUG